AUGAGAAAAUGGGAAGAAUUCCAUCAACCUUCAAACUUCGAGUUUCAUUCUAAAUGGUCUUUGGCAUUGACUGUGACUAAAGGGGUUUGGCCAAAAUCCCUGAGUGUAGGGGAGGGCUACGUCUCGAUGGCGAUGACGGGGCUUGAAGAAAACUGUGCGGCGGCAGAAGCCACUACAACGGUGGUGUGGGUCGGCGUAAGGGAGUAG